rnacentral:rRNA from 1 species
UUGAAAUCUGGCCCCCCGCGGGCCCGAGUUGUACUUUGGAGAGGACGCUUCUGGCGCGGCGCCGUCCGAGUUCCCUGGAACGGGACGCCGGAGAGGGUGAGAGCCCCGUACGGGCGGCCGCCUAGCCUCUGCGAAGCUCCUUCGACGAGUCGAGUAGUUUGGGAAUGCUGCUCAAAAUGGGAGGUAAAUUUCUUCUAAAGCUAAAUACCGGCCAGAGACCGAUAGCGCACAAGUAGAGUGAUCGAAAGAUGAAAAGCACUUUGAAAAGAGGGUCAAACAGUACGUGAAAUUGUUGAAAGGGAAGCGCCUGUGGCCAGACUUGCGCCCCGCGGACCACCCGGCGCCUCGCGCGCCGGGGCACGCCAGCGGGGCGCAGGCCAGCAUCGGCUCUCUCGGGGGGACAAAGGCCGCGGGAACGUAGCGCCCUCGCGGCGUAUUAUAGCCCGCGGCGCCAUGCCCCCGGGGGGGCCGAGGACCGCGCUCCGGCAAGGAUGCUGGCGUAAUGGCCACCGGCGACCCGUCUUGAAACACGGACCAAGGAGUCAAGCAUUGGGGCGAGUGUCUGGGUGGCAAGCCCGCACGCGGAAUGAAAGUGAACGCAGGUGGGAGCUUCGGCGCACCACCGACCGAUCCUGAUGUCCUCGGAUGGAUUUGAGUAGGAGCCCCGCCGCUUGGACCCGAAAGAUGGUGAACUAUGCCUGUAUAGGGUGAAGCCAGAGGAAACUCUGGUGGAGGCCCGCAGCGGUUCUGACGUGCAAAUCGAUCGUCAAA